CCGAGUUAGGGUCUUUAUGGCCUGACCUCCAACCCUUUGUCUAUUAUACCAAUGUUGCUUUGGCGGGCCCGCCUUUCGGGGCCGCUGGGGGCUUCACCGCUCCUGGCCCGUGCCCGCCAGUAGCCAUCUUAAAUUCUUUUGAUAACUGUGUCGUCUGAAUCAAUAUUAAAUCAUUUA
rnacentral:misc_RNA from 2 species